rnacentral:rRNA from 1 species
UACGUAGGGGGCAAGCGUUGUCCGGAUUUAUUGGGCGUAAAGAGCGUGUAGGCGGUUAGGUAGGUCCGUUGUGAAAACUCGAGGCUCAACCUCGAGACGCCGAUGGAAACCAUCUAACUAGAGUCCGGAAGAGGAGAAUGGAAUUCCUGGUGUAGCGGUGAAAUGCGCAGAUAUCAGGAAGAACACCCGUGGCUAAGGCGGUUCUCUAGUACGGUACUAACGCUGAGACGCGAAAGCGUGGGGAGCGAACAGG